UGGAGUCUCACUCUGUCUCCCAGUUUGGAGUGCAGUGGCGCCAUCUCGGCUCACUGCAAGCUCUGCCUCCCGGGUUCACGCCAUUCUCCUGCCUCAGCCUCCCGAGUAGCUGGAACUACAGGCGCCCGCCAUCACGCCCGGCUAAUUUUUUUUUUAGUAGAGACGGGGUUUCACCAUGUUAGCCAGGUUGGUCUUGAUCUCCUGACCUCAUGA
rnacentral:lncRNA from 10 species